rnacentral:rRNA from 1 species
CCCUUAGAUGUUCUGGGCCGCACGCGCGCUACACUGAUGCAUUCAACGAGCCUAUCCUUGACCGACAGGUCCGGGUAAUCUUUGAAUCUGCAUCGUGACGGGGAUAGAUUAUUGCAAUUAUUAAUCUUCAACGAGGAAUGCCUAGUAGGCGCAAGUCAUCAGCUUGCGUCGAUUACGUUCCUGCCCUUUGUACACACCGCCCGUCGCUCCUACCGAUUGGGUGUGCUGGUGAAAUGUUCGGAUCGGCCGUUUGUCGCGGUUUCCGCGGCUCGUGGCUGAGAAGUUCAUUAAACCCUCCCACCUAGAGGAAGGAGAAGUCGUAACA